UACGGAGGAUCCAAGCGUUAUCCGGAAUCAUUGGGUUUAAAGGGUGCGUAGGUGGGCAGGUAAGUCCGUGGUGAAAUCUCUGAGCUUAACUCAGAAACUGCCGUGGAUACUAUUUGUCUUGAAUGUUGUGGAGGUGAGCGGAAUAUGUCAUGUAGCGGUGAAAUGCUUAGAUAUGACAUAGAACACCAAUUGCGAAGGCAGCUCACUACACAAUUAUUGACGCUGAGGCACGAAAGCGUGGGGAUCAAACAGG
rnacentral:rRNA from 1 species